CGUAGGGGCAAGCGUUAUCCGGAUUUACUGGGUGUAAAGGGAGCGUAGACGGACUGGCAAGUCUGAUGUGAAAACCCGGGGCUCAACCCCGGGACUGCAUUGGAAACUGUCAGUCUAGAGUGUCGGAGGGGUAAGUGGAAUUCCUAGUGUAGCGGUGAAAUGCGUAGAUAUUAGGAGGAACACCAGUGGCGAAGGCGGCUUACUGGACGAUAACUGACGUUGAGGCUCGAAAGCGUGGGGAGCAAAACAGGAUU
rnacentral:rRNA from 1 species